CCCUACGGGGCGCAGCAGGCAUAAUGUUUCUGCUCAACGAGGCGCGCAUCCAGUUUUUCGCCAAAUACGGCUGGAAUGAGCUGAAUGUAGAAGGACUGGGUAUUGCCAUGAACGAUUCAGUUAUUCUCUAUAAAUCGCAGGCCUUUCAGGGUGAUGUGCUGGAGAUGAAAGUAGCCCUCACAGAUUUCUUCCGCUAUGGAUACGAUUUUAUCUAUCUUUUCACGAACAAGAAAACCGGGCGGGAAGUGGCGAGAGCCAAAACCGGCAUCAUGUUUUUUGAUUAUAAAAAAGGAACGAAGGCGGAAGUGCCGCCCAAAUUCAAAGAACUUUUCGCUAAGGUGGAGAAAUAAAGGGUAAAAAAUUACUAUUGGCGGGAGGGC
rnacentral:rRNA from 1 species